rnacentral:misc_RNA from 1 species
UUGAGAGAGCAUAGAAUGACGGAUGGUUGUGAAUGUGUGAACGUGCCCCUUUCCUUGCCCCAUGUUGGUGGGUGAUUGAUCGUAGCUCGGUGCGAUCUGCACCAAGGAAAAAACGAAUUCGGAAGCAGAGGGCCCCUUUGGCGUCUGCGGGGGGUGCCCAAUGCGUCGGAGAUUCCUCGGAAUCA